rnacentral:misc_RNA from 1 species
GGCGCCUGUGUCCACCUCGCUUCGCGAGGUGAACGCAGGCGCA